UCCUACGGGGGGCAGCAGUGGGGGAUAUUGCACAAUGGGGGAAACCCUGAUGCAGCGACGCCGCGUGGGCGAAGAAGUAUUUCGGUAUGUAAAGCCCUAUCAGCAGGGAAGAAGAAAUGACGGUACCUGAGUAAGAAGCACCGGCUAAAUACGUGCCAGCAGCCGCGGUAAUACGUAGGGGGCAAGCGUUAUCCGGAUUCACUGGGUGUAAAGGGAGCGUAGACGGCGACGCAAGUCUGGAGUGAAAGCCCGGGGCCCAACCCCGGGACUGCUCUGGAAACUGCGUCGCUGGAGUACGGGAGGGG
rnacentral:rRNA from 1 species